GGUUCAGCGUCUUCGCGCCUUCGAUCCGGAAGACCGUGCGGAUCUGAAGAUGAUCCUGCAGGUUUUCGCCAACCCCGGGGAGGUCGUGGACCACCUCUGCGCCGGCU
rnacentral:sRNA from 1 species